rnacentral:rRNA from 1 species
UCGCACGAGAAAGUGGAGCAAUCCAUGAGUACAGUGGCGUACGGGUGAGUAACACGUGGAUCAUCUACCUCUUGAUGGGGAAUAACCCUGGGAAACCGGGGCUAAUACCGCAUAAGCCUGUAAAGGGAAAGCAGCAAUGCGUCGAGAGAGGAGUCCGCGGCCGAUUAGCUAGUUGGUAGGGUAAAAGCCUACCAAGGCAAUGAUCGGUAGCCGGCCUGAGAGGGCACACGGCCACACUGGCACUGAAACACGGGCCAGACUCCUACGGGAGGCAGCAGUGGGGAAUCUUGCACAAUGGAGGAAACUCUGAUGCAGCGACGCCGCGUGAGCGAUGAAGCCCUUCGGGGUGUAAAGCUCUUUCGGCAGGAACGAUAAUGACGGUACCUGCAGAAGAAGCUGCGGCUAACUACGUGCCAGCAGCCGCGGUAAUACGUAGGCAGCAAGCGUUGUUCGGAAUUACUGGGCGUAAAGAGUGUGUAGGCGGUUCUCUAAGUUCCGUGUGAAAUCUCCCGGCUCAACUGGGAGGGUGCGCGGGAAACUGGAGGGCUCGAGUAUGGGAGAGGAAAGCGGAAUUCCUGGUGUAGCGGUGAAAUGCGUAGAUAUCAGGAGGAACACCUGCGGUGUAGACAGCUUUCUGGACCAUCACUGACGCUGAGACACGAAAGCGUGGGUAGCAAACAGGAUUAGAUACCCUGGCAGUCCACGCCCUAAACGAUGCAUACUUGGUGUGAGCCGUUCAUUCGGUUCGUGGCGGAGCUAACGCGUUAAGUAUG